rnacentral:tRNA from 1 species
GGAGAGGUGGGUGAGCGGUUGAAACCAACGGUUUGCUAAACCGUCGUACGAGGAAACUUGUACCGAGGGUUCGAAUCCCUCCCUCUCCGCCA